rnacentral:rRNA from 1 species
AUUGAACGCUGGCGGCAUGCCUUACACAUGCAAGUCGAACGGUAACAGGUCUUCGGAUGCUGACGAGUGGCGAACGGGUGAGUAAUACAUCGGAACGUGCCUAGUAGUGGGGGAUAACUACUCGAAAGAGUGGCUAAUACCGCAUGAGAUCUACGGAUGAAAGCAGGGGAUCGCAAGACCUUGUGCUACUAGAGCGGCCGAUGGCAGAUUAGGUAGUUGGUGGGAUAAAAGCUUACCAAGCCGACGAUCUGUAGCUGGUCGGAGAGGACGAUCAGCCACACUUGGGCUGAGACGCGGCCCAGACUCGUACGGGAGGCAGCAGUGGGGAAUUUUAGACAAUGGGCGCAAGCCUGAUUCAGCAAUGCCGCGUGCAGGAUGAAGGCCGUCGGGUUGUAAACUGCUUUUGUACGGAACGAAAAGCCCCGGGUUAAUACCCUGGGGUCAUGACGGUACCGUAAGAAUAAGCACCGGCUAACUACGUGCCAGCCGCCGCCGUAA